rnacentral:rRNA from 1 species
ACACCCAAGUAGCACGGGGCCCGAGAAAUCCCGUGUGAAUCUGGCGGGACCACCCGCUAAGCCUAAAUAUUCCCUGGUGACCGAUAGCGGAUAGUACCGUGAGGGAAUGGUGAAAAGUACCCCGGGAGGGGAGUGAAAUAGUACCUGAAACCGUGUGCCUACAAGCCGUGGGAGCGUCGGACAUCAGCUUGCUGGUGUCUCGUGACUGCGUGCCUUUUGAAGAAUGAGCCUGCGAGUUUGCGGUGUGUUGCGAGGUUAACCCGGGUGGGGUAGCCGUAGCGAAAGCGAGUCCGAAGAGGGCGAUUCAGUAGCACGCUCAAGACCCGAAGCGGAGUGAUCUAGCCAUGGGCAGGUUGAAGCGGAGGUAAGACUUCGUGGAGGACCGAACCCACCAGGGUUGAAAACCUGGGGGAUGACCUGUGGUUAGGGGUGAAAGGCCAAUCAAACUCCGUGAUAGCUGGUUCUCCCCGAAAUGCAUUUAGGUGCAGCGUCGUGUGUUUCUUGCCGGAGGUAGAGCACUGGAUAGGCGAUGGGCCCUACCGGGUUACUGACCUUAGCCAAACUCCGAAUGCCGGUAAGUGAGAGCGCGGCAGUGAGACUGUGGGGGAUAAGCUCCAUGGUCGAGAGGGAAACAGCCCAGAGCAUCGACUAAGGCCCCUAAGCGUACGCUAAGUGGGAAAGGAUGUGGAGUCGCAGAGACAACCAGGAGGUUGGCUUAGAAGCAGCCACCCUUGAAAGAGUGCGUAAUAGCUCACUGGUCUAGUGAUUCCGCGCCGACAAUGUAGCGGGGCUCAAGCGUACCGCCGAAGUCGUGUCAUUGCAGCAUGAGGCCCAACGGCCGCUGUGAUGGGUAGGGGAGCGUCGUCUGCCGGGUGAAGCAGCACCGGAAGGUAGUUGUGGACGGUUGACGAGUGAGAAUGCAGGCAUGAGUAGCGAUUCACACGUGAGAAACGUGUGCGCCGAUUGACUAAGGGUUCCUGGGUCAAGCUGAUCUGCCCAGGGUAAGUCGGGACCUAAGGCGAGGCCGACAGGCGUAGUCGAUGGAUAACCGGUUGAUAUUCCGGUACCCGCUGUGAAGCGUCAAACAUC